rnacentral:lncRNA from 1 species
CAGAAAUAAUAAGACUCAAACUUUCAAAGAUGCUGGGUGAAGGUGAAUCGCCUUCAAACUGAGGAUUCACAAUGACUUUGACUCAGACUUACCAUCCUCCAAGACAAAGGAGUAGCGGGGUUCGCUAGCCGACCUUGCCUGAAAGUACUUUUCUCUUACGGGGUAAAGAAUCGCUUCGCUUAAACUAAAGCUUUUUCUCUUGCUGGCUUUCCACCAUUCAAACUUGGUUACUUCCUACGCUAUUCGCUUUCGCUGGCAUUGAACUAUUCUCUCGACAUUCUUCUUCAUUCAGAUACAAACUAUUAAAAGAUUGGAAGGAGCUGGUUGGUGAUGCUCUUCCCAUGGUUUACCACCGAUGAGGAGUAUUCCGCAUGCCAUCGACCUAGUACCUGGUGCUAGUUUCCCAAACCUGCCUGCUUAUCGAAUGCUACCCGCCUUUUCAUUUCAGCCCCUUGCGCUAACAUCGUUCAGUUCCCGGGCCCCCUAUCAUCUGGGGAUUCUUUUUUCAUACGUAGUCUUUCAACACUUGAUUCAAUGGUGUCAAGCUCCUUCUGCUUUGAUGCUUCGCUUAGCGCUACUACUCCUAUGAUAUUGAUUUAUUAAGUGCAUGGAGGAGGUAACAAGAAAAAGAAGGUCUUUUUUCACUAACUAAAAUCCCUCUUUGGAUGAACAUUUCAUGGGAUUCUUCCAAUACUUACUGAGAACUAGUACACCACCUUCUAUUCUUAGCCGCAGAGAGCCCUC